AGAGCGAACGCUGGCGGCAGGCCUAACACAUGCAAGUCGAACGCCCAGCAAUGGGAGUGGCAGACGGGAUAGUAACACGUGGGAACGCGCCCUUCGGUUCGGAAUAACUCAGGGAAACUUGAGCUAAUACCAGAUACGCCCUUACGGGGAAAGAUUUAUUGCCGAAGGAACGGCCCGCGUCGGAUUAGCUAGUUGGUGAGGUAAUGGCUCACCAAGGCGACGAUCCGUAGCUGGUCUGAGAGGAUGACCAGCAUCACUGGGACUGAGACACGGCCCAGACUCCUACGGGAGGCAGCAGUGGGGAAUAUUGGACAAUGGGCGCAAGCCUGAUCCAGCCAUGCCGCGUGGAUGAUGAAGGCCCUAGGGUUGUAAAGUCCUUUUAACGGGGAAGAUAAGUGAACGGUACCCGUAGAAUAAGCCCCGCUAACUUCGUGCCAGCAGCCG
rnacentral:rRNA from 1 species